UACAGAGGUCUCAAGCGUUGUUCGGAUUCAUUGGGCGUAAAGGGUGCGUAGGCGGCGCGGUAAGUCGGGUGUGAAAUCUUGGAGCUUAACUCCGAAACUGCAUUCGAUACUGCCGUGCUUGAGGACUGGAGAGGAGACUGGAAUUUACGGUGUAGCGGUGAAAUGCGUAGAUAUCGUAAGGAAGACCAGUGGCGAAGGCGGCUCACCUGGCCCGGUACUGACGCUGAGGCACGAAAGCGUGGGGGAGCAAACAGG
rnacentral:rRNA from 1 species